rfam:Pichia sorbitophila strain CBS 7064 chromosome M complete sequence.
AUCAUCAGUAGUGGUUAUACUAUCUAAUAUAAAGAUAUAUAACUUGUACUUCUAGUACAACUACAAUAGGGCCUUAUGUUACCCUAAGUACACCGCAUUAGCGUUAGUGUGACCUGGGUGACAAAUCAGCUAAGCGCUAUUUGACCUUUUUAACAGAUUGGCCACAAUUAGUGCUUCGUUUCUGGUUCUUAGAGUAGCGUGCAUUUGUGUCUCAUUAAGCUCUGAUUCUAGGUGAGAUGUAUACAUAUCUUUGCGAUUAUGAUCAGAUGAGAGCACGAUGCUACAUUU